CCCGAGACGCGCCCACCGCGCCGGCCUCGCGGUCUCCGGGCUCCGCUCGAGUUUGCUUCUGGAACAAAGGCCGUGGGCACGUCGGGGCUCAGCGCGGGCUGCCGGCGCGGCGCACACUAGGCCGUGGCUCUGUCCCGUCUUUUGUACUCGACAGAGGGUGACCGAGAAGGGGACGCCCGGGGCUCCGUGGGCAGACACACUGCGCGCCACGAGCGUUGGUUCUGGGGCGCUGUCCUUGGUCGUCAGGGGCUGUGUCUAGUCCACGGUCACCCAUGAGUGUCCAUCAGACAUUGUCACACAGGCUCCUCCCACGAUGGGUAUGGAACCUGGCCCGGGGCCACCCCUCUCUGGUAAGGGGUAAACGCAAGACUUUUUGGAUUUUGUCAGAUUUUACCUGUUGUAUCAUUUUUUUGUUUUUUUUUUAAAUAUCGACUUGAGCGUGACCAUCAUUUGGGACUCACACUCUGAGGCCUGAAGGGAGGUCCUUCAGCCGGCGGACGUGUCAGGACACCCGUUUCCCGUGUAUCACCGGCGACUUAACCUAGUGGAGCCAUUCAGCGCGGUGGCCGUCUUUUGGAGGCUGCAAGCUAGCGGGUGAUCAGGUGACAACGGGCUCGAGCCUCUUAUUUUUUGAGAGUCACGCGAGUGCCUCACACGAGACAUAAAUAACGGCCUAAAAUGACAAGACCGGGUAGAUGGACAAAGACGAAUUAUGUCAGGAGGCAAAAGACGCAGGUUGGAGCGGCGGUGGGUGUUCCCGGGCCCUGGGCCGCGUCCAGUCGCGGCUCGCGGCCGUGCCGGGUGUUACGUUACUUCCAGCUCCGCCGGCUGCCGCUGGCUUCCCCUCCGGAGCCUCUGCACACACGGCCCGUUUUCACAGGGCUGUGCACCGAGGACAGAAAAAAUCCUUUCUUUCUUCCUUUCUUUUUCAAAUGUGCUUACAAUUACCCCUCUGUAUUUUUAUUGUCUUUUUUACAAACCACAAAACUCACACUGGAGGCACAGCCUAACUGCCGAGGCUUUCCUCGUGUAAAUAUUAGGAAAUUACAUUUGUACAAACUGCCGCGCUUUGUAAAUGGGGGCUGGAGAGCCUCCAACACAAAUUAAUCAGGAUAAAGUUGCUCUGUGUUGAACACGA